rnacentral:rRNA from 1 species
UUAUGCUAAUAAGAGCGUAUGGUGGAUGCCUUGGCACUAAGAGCCGAUGAAAGACGUGAUAAGCUGCGAAAAGCUUCGGGGAGGAGCAAAUAUCCAUUGAUCCGGAGAUAUCUGAAUGGGGAAACCUACUUGAGAAAACCUCAAGUAUCCACAGCCCAAUCCAUAAGCUGUGGAAGGGAACCCGGUGAACUGAAACAUCUAAGUAGCCGGAGGAAGAGAAAACAACAUGUGAUUCCGUAAGUAGCGGCGAGCGAACGCGGAAGAGCCCAAACCGGAGUGCGUGCACUCCGGGGUUCGGACUGCAGGAUUGACGAGUGAGCCUAGUAGAAUGGUUUUGGGAAAGCCAGCCAGAGAGGGUGAAAGCCCCGUACACGAAAGGCAAGCGAGCAUGGCAGGAUCCAGAGUACCACGAGACACGUGAAACCUUGUGGGAAUGAGCGGGGACCACCCCGUAAGGCUAAAUACUCCUUAGUGACCGAUAGCGCAUAGUACUGUGAAGGAAAGGUGAAAAGGACCCCGGGAGGGGAGUGAAAGAGAACCUGAAACCCUGUGUUUACAAGCUGUGGAACAUCUUUAUAUGAUGAACCGCGUACUUUUUGUAGAACGGUCCGGCGAGUUACGCGUGCCGGCAAGGUUAAGCACUUAAGGUGUGGAGCCGAAGAGAAAUCGAGUCUGAACAGGGCGUUCAGUCAGCACGCGUAGACCCGAAACCGGGUGAUCUACCCAUGUCCAGGUUGAAGUUGCCGUAAAAGGCAAUGGAGGACCGAACGCACAUCCGUUGAAAAGGGUGGCGAUGAGGUGUGGGUAGGGGAGAAAUUCCAAUCGAACCCGGAGAUAGCUGGUUCUCCUCGAAAUAGCUUUAGGGCUAGCCUCAUUUUAGUCUUAUGGAGGUAGAGCACUGAAUUUCCGCGGGGGCGUCAAAGCUUACCAAAGAAUAUCAAACUCCGAAUGCCAUGUAGAUGAUGAAUGGGAGUCAGACUGCACGAGAUAAGUUGGGUGGUCAAAAGGGAAAGAGCCCAGACCUACAGCUAAGGUCCCAAAGUGCGUGUUAAGUGGAAAAGGAUGUGGGAUUUCAAAGACAACCAGGAUGUUGGCUCAGAAGCAGCCAUCCAUUCAAAGAGUGCGUAAUAGCUCACUGGUCGAGAGGUCCUGCGCCGAAAAUGUCCGGGGCUGAAACACGACACCGAAGCUUAGGAAUCACAUAGUGAUUGGUAGAGGAGCAUUCUUAAAACCGACGAAGCUGUACCGGAAGGAGCAGUGGAGGGAUAAGAAGAGAGAAUGCCGGAAUGAGUAGCGAGAGGAAGGUGGGAAUCCUUCCGGCCGAAUAUCUAAGGUUUCCAGAGUAAAGCUGAUCUGCUCUGGGUAAGUCGGGGCCUAAGGAGAGGUCGAAAGACGUAUCCGAUGGACAACAGGUUUAGAUUCCUGUACCACAUAUAAACAGAACUGUGGGGACGCAUGUGGAAAGCAUAAGCCGGGAAUGGAAAUACCGGUACAAACGGAAGAGGUGUCAGGCUGGCAAAUCCGCCUGGCAAGCCAAAGACGUGAUGUGGAGCGAAAUAAAAGUAGCGAAGUAUGUGAGCCAUGUGCCGAGAAAAGCCGCUAUUGUUUUAUAUGUGCCCGUACCGUAAACCGACACAGGUGGAUGAGGAGAGAAUCCUAAGGCCGACGGAAGAAGCAUUGUUAAGGAACUCGGCAAAAUGACCCCGUAACUUCGGGAGAAGGGGUGCCCACUUCAGGGUGGGCCGCAGAGAAUAGGCUCAAGCAACUGUUUAGCAAAAACACAGGUCUAUGCGAAACCGAAAGGUGAGGUAUAUGGGCUGACGCCUGCCCGGUGCUGGAAGGUUAAGAGGAGAGGUUAGCGCAAGCGAAGCUUUGAAUUUAAGCCCCAGUAAACGGCGGCCGUAACUAUAACGGUCCUAAGGUAGCGAAAUUCCUUGUCGGGUAAGUUCCGACCCGCACGAAAGGCGUAAUGAUUUGAGCGCUGUCUCGACAAUGCAUCCGGUGAAAUUGAAGUACCAGUGAAGAUGCUGGUUACCCGCGCCAGGACGGAAAGACCCCAUGGAGCUUUACUCCAGUUUGGUACUGGGAUUCGGUACUGCAUGUACAGGAUAGGUGGGAGACUGAGAAAUUGGAACGCCAGUUUCAAUGGAGUCACUGUUGGGAUACCACCCCUGCAGUAUUGGGUUUCUAACCAGCCGCUGUGAUCCAGCGGUGGGACAAUGCCAGGCGGGGAGUUUGACUGGGGCGGUCGCCUCCGAAAGGGUAUCGGAGGCGCUCA